rnacentral:tRNA from 1 species
UUAUAUUUUAGUGUAAGAUGCACGAUAAUUUUUGAAAUUGUAAGAUAUAGUUUAAUUCUAUAAAAUAUAA